CCAAUUCAGCAAUUUUGGCAUUUAGCCUUGCUAUUUCAGCAUCCUUUGUUCCAACCUCUUGAACCAAGGCUCUGACCUUGCUGUUUAUAGGAUUUUUAGCAGAUGAACCAGGUUCAAUAGGGCCAGUACUGAGCAGAUAAUCACAGGCUUGGAGGGUUUUGAUCCCAAAGUGCUCAUUGCUGGAAGUCAUUUCUCACUUUUUCAAGGGAACAUCAAAUCGUUCAAGCACAGUUGUUAAGAUAAAACCAUAGGCAAUGGCAUGAGCCCUUGAUCCAUUGAUCACCCUCUCUAGCAAUUUCACAAUGAAGGCAUGCUAAUUGAUCUGCUUGCCUUCAUUCACACAUUGCAUGAGCACCAGAUCCAUAUAUUUUGUUGUCUGCCUUAUCUCGUGUCUGGGCAGAAGACAUUUGUUGACAAACUCAAAAAGCACUUUGUGCUCUGGCCUCAUUUCACUCUUAUAAACUGCCCUGGCCUAAGGCACCUCCUCAUCUAUUUGAGUGUCAUAGAAAUUUCCUAGUAAAUUGCAGAUCAGAGGGCAACCCAUCCAGACAAGGCCACCUUUGUCAUGUGUAGUCAUCAUACCCGUCACAAGGGAUGUCCAAAAUUUUGCCCAGUUUGGUAGCAUUGAACUUCACUUUCAC
rnacentral:lncRNA from 1 species